rnacentral:snoRNA from 13 species
ACUGCACCCCCAAGCCCCAAAGAUCAUUGUUUCCUUCUUCACAAUGAUCUUAUCUGGGGUGCUGACAUCAAUUGUACCUCGUCGCCUUUCAAGAGCUGUUCGAAGUGCUCCUGAAAGUGAAAUGGAAGGUUCAACAUAU